rnacentral:rRNA from 1 species
AUGUUGGCCUUCGCCGCCGUUGUCUUCUCCCCAGCUCCCGGCACGCUCUCUGGUAGAACAAUCCGCUCCCCUGCUGUCUCCCGCCAAACCCUCGCUCGAUGCGUCAAGAAAACCGUCCCCGAACCACCCCGGUCUGUCUUGUCCUCACCGCGACCCGCGCGCUCCAGCCGCCGGCCAUGGGUGCCAUGGUGCCUCCGCGCGCUCGCCGCCGCUCUAGCGCUCGCGCUCUGUCCUCCACAUAUCAUCCCUGCCCAUGCGUCCUCCAUCGGCGAGCGUCUGAAGCCGAGUACCCCGUAUCCUUGCGAAGACGUCCAGAGCUACUACGGGGGGCUGGAGGGCUUCUCCGGUGACGGGCUGAUGGCGAAGCUCGGCGCCGUCGUCUCGCCUCACGCCUCACUGCGCUACAAAGAUGUAUGGGAGGCGCUCAAGAUUCUCGAUGCAGCUGACGCAGACCACCCAGAAGCGUCCUCUGAAGUGAUCGAGAUAUACUCGCAGAGAGCUGUGCCGAAGCUCUUGGCAGGCAAGCCGGAUGGAUGGAACAGAGAACACCUCUGGCCGCGAUCAUACGGGCUAAAACGCCGUCCUUCUCUAACCGAUCUGCACAACAUUCGUCCUGCGGAUGCCAAUGUGAAUUCGUCCAGGGGAAACAAGUAUUAUGGAGGAUGUGCUGCGACGUCGAAAAAAUGUGCAAGGCCAGCAAAUCGUGAAGCUGCACCUGACACUGAAACAGACAGUGAAAGAUGGGCACCCCCUUUUCAGGUGCGUGGAGAUGUAGCUAGGUCCCUGAUGUACAUGGCUGUAAGCUAUGGAUCUGGACAGAAAGAUGCAGCUCCACAUUUGGAACUUUCUGAUUCGCCUAGUAUUCAAAGGAGGAGGAUGGGUCUCCUUUCAGCUCUUCUACAAUGGAAUGAACUAGACCCUCCAUCGAGAUCAGAGCAACGUCGGAAUGAUAGAGUUUGCAGCCUUUACCAGCACAAUCGAAAUCCUUUUGUCGAUCAUCCAGAGUAUGCUAAUCUAAUAUGGAGGAACACAGCUAGAAAAAUUCGAAUGUGA